GCCGGGAACGGUGGCUCAUGCCUGUAAUCCCAGCACUUUGGGAGGCCAAGGCGGGCAGAUCACGAGGUCAGGAGUUUGAGACCGGCCUGGCCAACAUAGUGAAACCCCGCCUCUACUAAAAAUACAAAAAAUUAGCCGGGCGUUGUGGCACACACCUGUAGACCCAGCUACAUGGGAGGCUGAGGCAGGAGAAUNNNNNNNNNNAUUCUCCUGCCUCAGCCUCCCAUGUAGCUGGGUCUACAGGUGUGUGCCACAACGCCCGGCUAAUUUUUUGUAUUUUUAGUAGAGGCGGGGUUUCACUAUGUUGGCCAGGCCGGUCUCAAACUCCUGACCUAGUGAUCCGCCCGUCUC
rnacentral:SRP_RNA from 1 species